UACGUAGGGGGCAAGCGUUGUCCGGAUUUACUGGGCGUAAAGGGCGCGUAGGCGGUCAGCACAAGUAGGUUGUGAAAUCUCCGGGCUUAACUCGGAAAGGUCAACUGAUACUGUGCGACUAGAGUGCAGAAGGGGCAACUGGAAUUCUCGGUGUAGCGGUGAAAUGCGUAGAUAUCGAGAGGAACACCUGCGGCGAAGGCGGGUUGCUGGGCUGACACUGACGCUGAUGCGCGAAAGCCAGGGGAGCGAACGGG
rnacentral:rRNA from 1 species